rnacentral:rRNA from 1 species
GAUGAACGCUGGCGGCGUGCCUAAUACAUGCAAGUCGAGCGAACGGACGAGAAGCUUGCUUCUCUGAUGUUAGCGGCGGACGGGUGAGUAACACGUGGAUAACCUACCUAUAAGACUGGGAUAACUUCGGGAAACCGGAGCUAAUACCGGAUAAUAUUUUGAACCGCAUGGUUCAAAAGUGAAAGACGGUCUUGCUGUCACUUAUAGAUGGAUCCGCGCUGCAUUAGCUAGUUGGUAAGGUAACGGCUUACCAAGGCAACGAUGCAUAGCCGACCUGAGAGGGUGAUCGGCCACACUGGAACUGAGACACGGUCCAGACUCCUACGGGAGGCAGCAGUAGGGAAUCUUCCGCAAUGGGCGAAAGCCUGACGGAGCAACGCAGCGUGAGUGAUGAAGUUCUUCGGAUCGUAAAACUCUGUUAUUAGGGAAGAACAUAUGUGUAAGUAACUGUGCACAUCUUGACGGUACCUAAUCAGAAAGCCACGGCUAACUACGUG